rnacentral:tRNA from 1 species
GUGGCGCAAAGGUAGCGCGAUUGACUUCUACAGCAAGCGAUAGAGCAAUCAAUAGGUUGCGGGUUCGAGUCCCGCC